GAUAUUACAGUGAGCUUUAUUGAAGACAUAUGAGAUAACCAAGUGUAUGAACAGUCUCCUUCAAAAAAAAAAAAAAAAAGAUUAGAAUACCCGCGAUAUUAAAGACUCCACCUCCUUAAGUUUUGUCCGUGAGAGGAAAUAUUUAUUUUUGUGCUAAAGAUGUUCCUUAGCUAAUUAUAGUUUUAAAAGAGAAAACGAAAAAUAGCGUGGUGAGUUUCUUUUAUUAAAAUUAAAAUUACAAGCUUUCAAGCAAAAUGCUUUUCUUCAGGUAAUCCAAGAAAAAUAUAUAUGUGGAGAGGUAAAUACACCCACCUAAGUAAGAUUUGAAAAUUAAAGCAGAAUUGCCACGAACAAGCACGUAUCAACACAACUAGAGAGCGAGCGAGAAAUUCAGUUUAAAAUAAAUAAAAUAUAUACAUAAUUCGGGAAAACACUUGAGGUUAAACUUCCUUAUGCGGGGUCCAUAUUAUUACAAAAAGCUAUGUACUGCGGGGGUAGCUCUAUUUUUCUAUUGAGGCUUGGAAUUUUAUUGGAAACCAAAGCCUCCAGGACCAGUCUUUGAUAUUUUCCGCUUAUGUUACUGUAAAUACAUUGGGUGUCUGUGAAAUCAAAUGAAUGCUGUGUUUCUGCCAUGUGCUGAUAAAUCUGGGAACGGCUGUCUUUGUUCAUGAUGUUUCUAUUGUGUUCUUUAGUCCUGAUUUCUAUGGUUCUGCCGGUUUCACCAACAUAAUGUAGUUCGCAAUUUGAGCAUUUAAUUUUGUACACUGCGUUAGAGGCGGAUAGUGGGUCCUGCUUUAUAGAACUUUUUGUGAUGGGAUGCCGGAGUUUGAGUUCGACGGAAGGUGAAUUACUAAAAUGCGUGCGAACACCGUAUUUUCUCAAGAAACGGGCAAUAUCAACGUUGGUUUCGGAAUACGGGAGAACGCAAGUCGAUUUGUAAACGUUUGGGAUUGUAUAUGUACGUUGUUGGUACGUAUGGCGCCGGAUAAAAUCUAUGGAAUAACCGAAAGACGAAAGGUUACGAUAAAUGUUAUUUCUCUCGACCGUCCUAAAGAUUUCUAGAGAACAAUGAGUAGAGAUCCUUUUUGUUAGUGUUUUGAUAGUUGUGAUCUUAUGAGAUGCAGGUGCAUGAGAACCAUAAUAAAUAUACGUGGGGUUAAAUUCUGGUUUGUAGUAUACCGUGGUUUCUAUGUUGCUGCCGUGAUAUGGGGGAGAUCGGAAGAAGCCAGGAGUUUUCUGAGUUCUUUGAUGAUGAGGUCGUGGGGGAGACAUAAAAAGAGGGAUUUUACAUCAUACGUGCAGAUGGAGUAGUUUUCUGAGUUAUCUAUUUCUUUUAAUUUGUGGAUAAAGUCGCUUGAGUCUUGAAUAAAAUGGGAAUUAUAUGUCUUGAUCAACGGUUUUAAGACAUAGUUUUAUUCGGCUAUUCUACCAAAAAUAAUGUUUAAACUAAAAUAUAAAAAUAUAGACAAUAUUGGUGUGUGUGUGUGUGUGAUAAAAGAAAAAGUACUUAGAGACAACAAUGGACAAAUAUUAGCUGAGCUAUUCAUUUCUACGGGAUGGUAAGGUGCCGCUGAGUAUAUCAAUAUACUAGGUUAGGUUUAGUUAUUUGCUUGUUUAUUUUUUAAAUGAAACUGGUUUUGUUUAUACCGUGAUAUAUAUAUUAGGCCUAGCUCGGAAUAAUACAAUCAGCUGAUGUGCUUUCACCGUUCGCAGUAGCUAAUUUAUUUCGUCUCAGUUUACAGACAUUCGAGCAUAUCUGACCUGGUCCUAACUAUUUACAUAUGGCGAUAUAUAUACUCUGCCUUUGCCGGUCCCAAGCCCGGAUGAAAAAGGAGGAGCAGUAACAAGCUCGGUAAAAAACCUGGGCUCAGCUGGCCCGGCUGAUAGUACCCUGUAAGGGCUCCUAAUCCAGGGAUACAGGAUGAGCAGCGUUUGUACUCCAUGUUAGGAGCGGCUGCACAUGGCGUCUGUUCCUCAUGUCAGAGGCGGCCAUUUCUUUUGGAGUUAAAUCGGCCUGCCACUGAGUAGUGCCCCCAGUCUUAAUGACAAAGGCAGACGCAUUCUACUUCACCCAGUGUGGAGAUAAGAAAGAAGAAGAAGAGACAUAUAGCGAGUUGGUAGAGUAGAUGUGACCUCCAAGACCUUGCAGGCGGGCAGCUUUAGUAUUUCUAUUUAUAGUGUUACGACGCUUUUCAGCGGUUGUUGUUUGCGUACAAGACUCAAUGUAGGUUCGUUGUGGAUAACAGCUUAGUUCGUUAUAUUUUAUUGUCAGUUAAUGGAAUGGGGAACUAGAUAGAUGGACUUGUCUCCAAUGUCCACCUUCAGAAGUAUAUUCCUCUUCAACGUUCCGCUUCACACUAUACACGUCCAGCCUGGACUACACCGCUUUGUAGGCCGCUCCGAUGUCAGUCUCUCCUGGCACCGUCUUACAAGAUUAUCUACACGUCUGGAGGCAACACGCUGCUCCAUCCACUUGCCGCAGAUAUGACCAGACUCUGUCCUCCCCUAAACCGGAAUGCUGUUUUUGGCGUCUGUUCCCCUCACACAUAGCAGCUGAAAUCCACCCAUCUUUCCCAAACUUUUACUCUGGUAUCUUAGCCUUUCAGAUAGCUUUUCAUCCAUUUUACAACAGAAAAAUGAAAAAAGAAUACUCCAGAAUUGUUCACAUUUUAAACAUUUUAGGAUACGUGUCAUUUGAGAUUAUUGAUUGAAAAGAUAUGAUUUGCAUAUGUAUGUUGACUAUUAUCUAACUGACACCUUAAAUAUAGUAAUAUGCAAAUAAAAAUAUCAGUGGUAUGCAAAUUAAAAUAAUUGAAUAUUUAGAUAAAAAAGUCACUUAUUUAUAAAGGUAUUAAGAAGUUGGCGUUAUUUUUUGGACCAUUCUUGAAUAUUUAAUAGAAUUUAGAGAAAUGUUUUUUAAAAAAUAACAUUUUACAAUAAAAAGUGCAAUUAAUUUUUAAAUCAGACAAACAUUAUUUCGAUAAAAAAAAAUAAAUAUGAGAUGCUUAUAUUUAAGAAAUGGUUAGUGUAAAAAAUAUAUAUAUUUUGAUGUAAAACGUUUAUAUUUAUUUUAAAAUUUAAACAUUUGUUGUAUCUUUUAUACGGGUUCAUUUACCUUUAGCUUUAUAUAUAUUUAAUAUAGUUACAGCCUUUAUGUAUAUAGACAAUUAAUAUACCGCCGUGCUAGAACAAUUAUAUAUUUAUUAUGCGGCGUUGUUUACAUACUGUGUUGCCAGAUCUUUUGUAGCACAGUUUAUAACUAUAUACAACAUGUUCCCCUUUUAAUUAAAGUCCGGGGUCGAAUCUUUUCGGAGGCUUUACCACACGUCCACUUCUAGUGGUGUAGGCAGUGCCUCCUUCAUUGUAGUUUCCUAUGGGAGUUGAAGUGGAAGGGGCCAACUCUUCAGGACUGAGGUUCAGGCGGGGAAAUUCUCCUGGUUCCCUUUGACCACUGGACUCCGAUGAUGUCGAGGGGGCUGGAUCCAAUUGGGGCGAUGACUGGCUGCUCCUUCUCUGUCCAACAGGAUAACUUCUGGGCCGUAGGUGAACUCUGUUCCGUUUUAACAUUCGGCCCUCGUUGUUCUGAAUGAUGUAUGAUCGAGGCUGGUUGGCUUCUCCAAUGAUGGUAGCUGGUCUCCAGGCAUCGCUAGUUUUGGCAUUUACCUGUUCACCAGAACUCAUUUUAGGAAGUAUUUUGGCAUUUCGGUCAUAAUAUUCUUUCAUCUUAUAUUGAUUUUCCCUCUUCUGCUGUAGAAUGUUUUCCGUGCUAAUGAAAGCAGGUUUUAGCUUUGUGGUUUUCAUUGGGAUCAAGGUUCUCAAGUUUCUUCCCAUUAGCAUCUGAGCUGGGGACGGUAGAUUAUUUGACGGAGUUGUUCUCAGGGCUAUUAAACACAUAUAAGGAUCAGUGUUGUCUUGACGGCAUUUCUUAAGUUGCUUCUUUACUGUUUGCACCAUCCUCUCCACUAAUCCGUUUGAUUUUGGGUAUCCUGGGCUAGAGGUUUUAUGUUCUAUGUCCCAUUCAUUUGUAAAAUUAGUAAAGUCUUGUGAUGUAAAUGGUGGUCCAUUAUCAGUGAUGAUGAUCUCUGGAAUCCCAUGUCUUGCGAAGGUAGAUUUCAAAACUGGUAGAAUCUCUUUUGCUGAAGUUGAUGCUACCUUGAUGACUUCAGGAAAGCUGCUGUAGUAGUCUACUAUUAUUAUGAAUACAGAUUGGUCUAGAUAGAAGAAAUCAAUAGCUACUUUUUGCCAAGGGUAGUCUGCUAUUUCGUGAGGUAUAAGUGGUUCUUUCCUUUGCGAAGGUUGUGAUUCUUGACAAAUUCUACACUUAUAAACCAUCUCUUCUAUUUCUCUAUCCAGUCCCGGCCAAUAAAUAGCUUCAUGUGCUCUGUUUUUACAAGCAGAGAUCCCUUGAUGAGACAUGUGUAGUGUUUGCAAGAUGCUUUCCCUUUGGACUUUAGGGAUGACAAGUCUUUGUCCUCUACAAAUCAGGUCUUUCCAUAUAUAUAGUUCUUCUUUACAAUGCCAGUAGGGCUUAACAGCAUAGUCCACACUUUUCUUAUGAAUAGGCCACCCAUUCAGUAUAUGAUCCCUUAAUUUUAUCAUUUCUUCAUCUGACUCCAUAUCUCUGAGAAUUUCCUGGUAUCUUUUAGUGGUCACCUUCAGAUUUAGAGUCAUAAUGGUGUUCUGGAGAUCCAGAUCUGAGGUGUCGAUGGUUUCCUCUGAAAUUGAAUCUCUAGAUAGAGUGUCUGCGGUGUGAAUCACUUUUCCUGGUACAUAUUCUAAAUUAAAAUCAUAUCGCAUCAAUUUCAAGACCAGUCUUUCAAGUCUUGGAGAUAAUUCCUCUAGUGGCUUUUUUAGUAUAGCCAACAAGGGUUUAUGAUCCGUCUGGGCUGUGAACUUUCUUCCAUACAAAUGAUAGUUAAAUCUUUGGCAUCCAUACCAGAGAGCUAAGAGCUCCUUUUCAAUCUGGGCAUAUUUUUUCUGAGUGUUAUUCAAGGAUGCGGAUGCAAAAGCGAUGGGUCUUCCCUCUUGCAUCAAGACAGCCCCAAGCCCAUGUUGACUAGCGUCCACUGAAAGUGUUACCUUCCGAUGGGGGUCAAAGAGGCCAAGAACUGGAGGAUUUGAUACCAAAUUUUUCAGCUCAAUGAAUUCUUUUUCUAUAGCCUCAUUCCAUGUCCACAGGGUAUUCUUUUUUAGGAGUUGUCUUAACAAGACAGUUUUAUCUGCCAGAUUAUGCAUGAAUUUAGCUAGAUAGUUCACAGUUCCCAAAAAUCUUUGAAGAGAUGUCUUGUCCAUUGGUCUUUUUAUUUUUUGUAUUGCUUCUAAUUUAGAUGGAUCUGCAGAGAUGCCAUUCUUGGAUAUCUCAUGUCCAAUGAACUUAACUUUUUCUUGGGCCAGUUGCAUUUUAUUGAAUUCAAACUUUAAAUUAUUUUUUCCCAGAGGUACAUGAAGCCUUGCAUUUGCCCCUUAUUGGUACUUUUUCUCCUGUAUAUGAAUAAACCGCAAUCCCAGUUGGAUAUAUGCAGGGUUUAUUUUGCCAAUUUUUAAUGGUAUCCAAUGGCAGGAUGUUCACCUGUGCUCCUGUGUCUAAUUUAAAAUUAACUGAAUUAUUCUCCACCAAGAUUAUUUUAGUCCACUCUAGACCAGUAAUGCUAUCUAGGGAUAGGUAUUGAAGACACAUUUCUUCUUCCUCUUCCGCUCUUCCCUCCAACAUAUGCACUCUGUUCCUACACAUUUUAGCAAAAUGGUUUGGUUUUUUACAUGAAUUGCAUAUUUUACCAUAUGCAAAACAUUUACCAUAUGGAUGUCUGGAACCACAAUUUUGGCAAACCUUUGCAUUAGGAUGUUCCUCAGAUACAUUAGGUUUUCUACCAACUGGAUAUUUGAAAUUCUUUUUAUAUUGCUUUUUAUAUUUUAUAGAAUGUAAAUCAACAUCUUCUCUAGUUAUAUUUUUUACUUGUUGUCUAGAAGUUUCAGUAGCUCUUCCCAAGUCUAUGGCUUUAGCUAAAGAAAGAUCAGGAUCUUGUAGCAUCCUUUCUUUUAAAGCUUUGUCUUUAAUUCCAAUUAUAAUUCUAUCUCUGACCAAGGAAUCUGCAAGCUCUCCAAAUUCGCAGUCCAUGCUUUUAUUUUUCAAUUCAGUUACAUAGUCAUCAAAAUUCUGAUUCUCCCCUUGUUCCGUUGUAAAAAACUGGUACCUCUUAUAGGUUGUGUUUUUAUAUGGUUUAAAGUGUCCAUCAAACAGUUCAAGUAUAUCCGGAACAGUCGGAGAGGCAUCAGUUUCUUGUAUUUUAAAUGUAGAGUAUAUAUCUAGGGCUAACUCACCAAUAUUAUAGAGUAGAAUAGCCCUUUGUCUUGGAAUAGAUUUUUUAUCUAUUUCUGUGGCUAUGUAAAACAUUUGGAAUCUCUUUUUCCAUUUACCCCAUGCUUCUGAUGGGUUUGUUCCAGGCACAAAUGGCUGCAAACUAUUCCCGGUACUCGAGGCCAUUUUUCAACGUGUUAGGCUUAAUUGAUAUUUGAAAUUUUACUUAUCUUUCAAAAUCCCACCGCUGCCACCAUGUUGUAUCUUUUAUACGGGUUCAUUUACCUUUAGCUUUAUAUAUAUUUAAUAUAGUUACAGCCUUUAUGUAUAUAGACAAUUAAUAUACCGCCGUGCUAGAACAAUUAUAUAUUUAUUAUGCGGCGUUGUUUACAUACUGUGUUGCCAGAUCUUUUGUAGCACAGUUUAUAACUAUAUACAACAACAUUGAUAAGUUUUUAUGGCCUCUUCAUUCAAUUUAUGACUUCAGACGUUAUUAAAUGUAAAUGGCGGUGUGUAAAUAACUGCGGGGCAAUUGUCCUAAUAUUUAGCAGACGCCUUUUUUUUUUUGGCGGGAAAAUAGUUUUUAUUUGUUUAUUCCUCUCAACCCACGCCCUUAGAGUAUAUAUAUGAUAAUUUUUUAAAAAAUCAUUAUUAUUUUUUUUUUAGUGGGCAAUAUAAGAUGAAAUUUAUGUUUUCUUAAAUUUCUUUAAUAUAUUACGCUCUAUAAAUUCAUUAAAAAAUCUAAUAUAUGCAUCUUUUUUAAAUAUUACGCUCUAUAUAUAUAUAGAGAGAUGGGAAUUUUGCCUGGGAGGAAAUUGAUCUAAUAAAAUAAAGGUCGCAUCUCCCGUUUUUUUAGAUUAAUUUCCUCCCGGCAAAAUUUCCAUCUAUAUUUUGGCCAUAGAUUUGGCCUAACCACCUUACCAGCUAAACAUCUCUUUGGUAGAUUAUGAAGAUUCCAUUUGAUCCCUUGUGAAUAUCAUGAAAUAAAGUCCGCCCUAGACUGACGAAUUAGCUCGAAACCUUGGUCUCUAGGGGGACGUUUCUCAGUUUGCCAAAGUUGGUGUUGUGGCUUUGUCAACGACCUGAGUCCGCUAGUUUGCGGAGACGGUCAAAAGUUGCAUAUAAUGGAUUAGACAACCAUCCGGAAUCUCUAUCAGUCCACGACACGCCGGGGGACAGCCUUCAUUCAAGUCAGUGGUGGUACCAACGACAUGUUGACUUUCUCAAUUUGUGACAAUCACAAACUCUGGAAUGGGGGUCGGUGUAAGAAUUGUCUAAACCGUUGGUUUUCGACCACUACGACCUGGGUUCGAUUCCCAUAUUGGGCACUUUUUAUGAUUAAAAAAAUGCUCCAAUGGCCCCACGAUUCUUGCAAAAGUCCAACCCCACCAGCGAAUGUAAGUAACCAAACGGGGCUCUGGCACAUUUGUAAGUGCAAAGUUGAACUGCUUUUCACAUGUGUAGACAUAUGGUGCACUUACAGUAAAAGCAAUCGCUAUGAUUAUAAUGGCCUGUACCACGUGUACUAGGGAUAAGCAAAAAAACUCUGGAAUAAAACAAUUAAUUGUUCUGAUAUUUUGUUUUUUUUUUAACUAUACACACACACAUACAGCUUUAUUAAGACCACCGGUCUUAUACAGAUUCACCACAGGAAGGAAGCAUAGAUAGAGCUCCUAUUAUCCAGGCAGCACAGAACCCAACAACAGCCUCCAGGUCCGACACAGUAGCCACACCGUGUCAAGGUUAACGUAUCACUGAAAAGACGAGUGUGGAAUCAGCCGUGUUCUAGUCUUCACUUUCCUCAUCCAAAUGGACCACGACAUUCGGCGAUUCUAUUAAUCCCCUCUAAACAUUGACUGAGGAGUUUUUUUUCAACUCUACAUGUUUUUCACAUACACCAAUUACUGUCCCAAUCUGACAACUCCUUCUUUUCGCGUCGAUUUUUUGUUUUAGAGUAAGUUAUUUACCUAAUAGUUAACUAUAGUUAAUGCAUAUAGAGAGGGAAUAUGUAAAUAUAAACAAAUUUUAACACCUUACCAAAUGUUUUAUUUUUAUUUAUUUCUCCUGACGAAGACAAAAUAUUUUUGUCGAAACGUUGAGAAAAUAAAAAACCUCUAACUGGCCGAAGUGUCUAUUUUUCAUAGAAAAAGAAUAUUCUUAUACAUUGCAUUGGUUAUUUUCCACACAACUCUAUUUAUAUAUUAAGUUUUUAUAAUAAAAAACAAAUAUUUAGGAAAUUUUAAAAUAUUUUUGACAUAUAGCCAAUAGUGUGUUAAAAAACAAAUAUUUUAGAAAAUAAGGUAUAUUUAAAAAAAAUAUCUUUGAUGCAUUCGAAAAGUUUAUAUUAAAGCUAAAUACCAACAAAAAAAAAUUGACAUAUCCAAAUUAAACAAAAAACAAAAAAGCUAAAUUGUGUUCCAUCAAUUUUUCCCGCCCAAACUUGAGCGAUUGGGAGUUGUCGUCUGAUGAGAUAUUUAUGAGAAUCAUUAUUGGAGAAAGUCCAAACGAAAAUUUUUUAAAGCAUUUGUUUGUCGUCUGCCAGGCCAAUGGAGAAAAUGAUGAUAGGUGGCUUUUAUCUCGCGUUACUCUGUGUUCUUUUUUUUUCUUCUUACUUGAGAUGGCUCUUUCUCUCUCUUAUCGAAUGGAAUGCAUUUGAAAAUUUUCAAACAACCAGACUGACAACGCUGGCAUGGAAUCGUUUGAUGGAUGGAGUAAAUUGGCGGGAAAACUAGAUAUCAGCCGAAAUAUGACUUUCUUCUGCUUUUUUAACUCUAUAGCACUCGCGGUUUCUCUCUUUUUAGAAUAAUUUUACAUUACAUUAUAAAAAGUUUAUAUAUUCUUACAUCAUGAAUUGUUCAAUGAAAUUUAUAAACUGGUAUGUGUGUAUAAUAGAACGAAAAUACGUAUAUUUAAAAAAUAUAUAGAUAAAAUUGGGUAACAAAUAAAUGUUGGCAAUGUGUUAUUUUGUUUUUAUCUCUACAGACCUUACUGCAAUAAUAAAAGUUAUUGAAUGAAAGGACUUAGCUCAUCAGUGGUUAAUGCUCACAGCGGUUUCACCAAAUUAAUCUCCAGACAGCUCUACUAUUGUAUUGGAUUGAUUUUGUUAUAUACCCUGUCUUUUCUAUGGAAGGUAGCUUAGGGAUGUUUAAGGAAUCUAUGGAUAUAAUCUUAUGGGAUUUUUCUAGUAAGUCUAUGACUUUUUUUUUUAAUAUCGAGGAAAAACAACUAGGUACGCGUUUCGGGCUGUUGGCUCUGAUCAGCGUGAUGUAGGUGGUACGUUGAAGGCUUUCCUGUUCCAAAAUCACUUUAUUAGGUACCGCUCAACAAGAGCAACCUAUUCACGAUAAAAUUGUGAAAAAGUUUUAAAAUUACAAAUAUUUUCUCACAAUGAGUUUAUUUUUAUUAAAAAACGCUAGCUUUCAAGCGAUAAUCGCUCUUCAACGGGCUUACUAUAAUAUCGACUUUAUCCCACCAGAAAUAUUUACAAAAACAAACGCGCGCAGCGUGGAUAUUUAUAACUGAAACAUUCAAUGAUCUAUCAACAUAUUGCAUAGACCGGUCACCAAUUCAACAUAACACAAACGAAAUGUCACUACAAAAACAUAAGAACAAAUUUCAACGGUUACUCUUAGAAUCUCUCGUUUCCAAUGAAUAUAACAGCAUAAACAGGAAGAUACCAUCACAAUACCUUAGAUAUCUCAGAAGAAAUCAAUAGAUCAAUUUUAUAGGUUAUGGAUGCCCUAAAAAUUAAAAUAGACGUAUUCCAUAAAAGAGUUAAAUUACAAACCAAUUUAAAAUUUUCAGUUAUAAAUAUAUAUCCACGCUGCGCGCGUUUGUUUUUGUAAAUAUUUCUGGGGGAUAAAGUCGAUAUUAUAGUAAGCCCGUUGAAGAGCGAUUAACGCUUGAAAGCUAGCGUUUUUUUAAUUAAAAAAAACUCAUUGUGAGAAAAUAUUCGUAAUUUAAAAGAGCAACCUAGUUUGUGAUAAUUUCAACAAUGAAUAAUAUAUGAAGGUUAUUCACCUAUUAAACAAAAUGUUAACGUGGGAUUCAAUUCCGGUUCAUGACUGUCGGGAAUCGAGCGUGUUACCCACUCGUCCACCGACUCUUUGCGUUGAAGGCUUGGUUCAAAUUCACAUAAAUAGGUACCGCUCAGCAAGAGCAACCUAGUUCAUGAUAAUUGAACAAUGAAUAAUAUGUGAAGGUUAUUCACAUAUUAAACAAAAUGUUAACGCGGGAUUCAAUCCUGGUUCAUGGCUUUCGGGAAUCGAGCGUGUUACCCACUCGUCCACCGACUUAUUUUUAUCUGCGUUGAAGGCCUGGUUCAAAUUCACAUAAAUAGGUACCGCUCAGCAAGAGCAACCUAGUUCAUGAUAAUUGAACAAUGAAUAAUAUGUGAAGGUUAUUCACAUAUUAAACAAAAUGUUAACGCGGGAUACAAUCCCGGUUCAUGGCUGUCGGGAAUCGAGCGUGU